rnacentral:rRNA from 1 species
GGGGAAUAUUGCGCAAUGGGGGAAACCCUGACGCAGCAACGCCGCGUGAGUGAUGAAGGCUUUCGAGUCGUAAAACUCUGUCUUCGGGGACGAUAAUGACGGUACCCGAGGAGGAAGCCCCGGCUAACUACGUGCCAGCAGCCGCGGUAAUACGUAGGGGGCAAGCGUUGUCCGGAAUCACUGGGCGUAAAGGGCGCGUAGGCGGUUUGUUAAGUCAGGUGUGAAAGUUUUCAGCUUAACUGGAAAAGUGCACUUGAAACUAACUUACUUGAGUACUGGAGAGGUAAGCGGAAUUCCUAGUGUAGCGGUGAAAUGCGUAGAUAUUAGGAAGAACACCGGUGGCGAAGGCGGCUUACUGGACAGAGACUGACGCUGAGGCGCGAAAGCGUGGGGAGCGAAC